rnacentral:rRNA from 1 species
UGAACGCUGGCGGCGUGCCUAAUACAUGCAAGUCGAGCGAACAGACGAGGAGCUUGCUCCUCUGACGUUAGCGGCGGACGGGUGAGUAACACGUGGAUAACCUACCUAUAAGACUGGGAUAACUUCGGGAAACCGGAGCUAAUACCGGAUAAUAUAUUGAACCGCAUGGUUCAAUAGUGAAAGACGGUUUUGCUGUCACUUAUAGAUGGAUCCGCGCCGCAUUAGCUAGUUGGUAAGGUAACGGCUUACCAAGGCAACGAUGCGUAGCCGACCUGAGAGGGUGAUCGGCCACACUGGAACUGAGACACGGUCCAGACUCCUACGGGAGGCAGCAGUAGGGAAUCUUCCGCAAUGGGCGAAAGCUUGACGGAGCAACGCCGCGUAAGUGAUGAAGGUCUUCGGAUCGUAAAACUCUGUUAUUAGGGAAGAACAAAUGUGUAAGUAACUAUGCACGUCUUGACGGUACCUAAUCAGAAAGCCACGGCUAACUACGUG